rnacentral:rRNA from 1 species
UAGGGAAUCUUCCACAAUGGGCGAAAGCCUGAUGGAGCAACGCCGCGUGUGUGAUGAAGGGUUUCGGCUCGUAAAACACUGUUGUAAGAGAAGAAUGACAUUGAGAGUAACUGUUCAAUGAGUGACGGUAUCUUACCAGAAAGGAACGGCUAAAUACGUGCCGG